AUAAAAGCCCGACCUGCACCUCCAGUCCUUUCACUGUUCCUCCACCCGGCACAGUAAAGGAGCCUCCAUCACCUCCAUCACCUCCAGCAUGAAGAAGCUGAGCAUCGUUUCCCUCGCAGUUCUGCUGCUGGCUCUCUGUCUCACCUCUCAGAGGGCUGAGGCAAACAGCACCGCCCCCACCACCGUCACCACCACCCCCACCUCCGUCUCCACCAGUGAACCCACUAAGAGUGGCUGCGGGGGUCCCGCCCUCUCCACGCUGCUGCUGUCCCCGCUGCUGCUCGCGGCUCUUCUGUUUCACGCCUGAUGUGAGGGAGCGGACACGGCACAGCCGCCACGCGUGGACUGGAGACGCAUCUUUAGUUUUAUUACAGAUUCAAUGUUUUUCUUCUUCUUUUUUUUUUUCUUUGAAGUGAAAUAAUUUUCAGUGUUGAUGGGAACGGUUUUAAAAGGCGCGCGCGCCGCCCCGAUUGGCUCCGGUCUUUACGCACCGGCGGGCACGCGCACCGCUGCUUUUCCUGCCUCUUCUCUUCACGCUGUGAACUCGCACAGAGGCCGGUGACCUCAGGGUGGGGGUCUGUGGGAGGGAGGAGCAUGACGCCACUCCACCUGUGAAGAAGAAAAUCCGUUUAAAGUGAUUGUACACGAACGAGUUUUGUACUUUAGACCAGGUUUCUCGAAUUUUAUACAAAGAAUAAAACUGUAAAUUGUAAGAA